AAAUUGAAGAGUUUGAUCAUGGCUCAGAUUGAACGCUGGCGGCAGGCCUAACACAUGCAAGUCGAGCGGUAGCACAGAGAGCUUGCUCUCGGGUGACGAGCGGCGGACGGGUGAGUAAUGUCUGGGAAACUGCCUGAUGGAGGGGGGUAACUACUGGAAACGGUAGCUAAUACCGCAUAACGUCGCAAGACCAAAGUGGGGGACCUUCGGGCCUCAUGCCAUCAGAUGUGCCCAGAUGGGAUUAGCUAGUAGGUGGGGUAACGGCUCACCUAGGCGACGAUCCCUAGCUGGUCUGAGAGGAUGACCAGCCACACUGGAACUGAGACACGGUCCAGACUCCUACGGGAGGCAGCAGUGGGGAAUAUUGCACAAUGGGCGCAAGCCUGAUGCAGCCAUGCCGCGUGUGUGAAGAAGGCCUUCGGGUUGUAAAGCACUUUCAGCGGGGAGGAAGGCGCCAAGGUUAAUAACCUUGGCGAUUGACGUUACCCGCAGAAGAAGCACCGGCUAACUCCGUGCCAGCAGCCGCGGUAAUACGGAGGGUGCAAGCGUUAAUCGGAAUUACUGGGCGUAAAGCGCACGCAGGCGGUCUGUCAAGUCGGAUGUGAAAUCCCCGGGCUCAACCUGGGAACUGCAUUCGAAACUGGCAGGCUAGAGUCUUGUAGAGGGGGGUAGAAUUCCAGGUGUAGCGGUGAAAUGCGUAGAGAUCUGGAGGAAUACCGGUGGCGAAGGCGGCCCCCUGGACAAAGACUGACGCUCAGGUGCGAAAGCGUGGGGAGCAAACAGGAUUAGAUACCCUGGUAGUCCACGCCGUAAACGAUGUCGAUUUGGAGGUUGUGCCCUUGAGGCGUGGCUUCCGGAGCUAACGCGUUAAAUCGACCGCCUGGGGAGUACGGCCGCAAGGUUAAAACUCAAAUGAAUUGACGGGGGCCCGCACAAGCGGUGGAGCAUGUGGUUUAAUUCGAUGCAACGCGAAGAACCUUACCUGGUCUUGACAUCCACAGAACUUUCCAGAGAUGGAUUGGUGCCUUCGGGAACUGUGAGACAGGUGCUGCAUGGCUGUCGUCAGCUCGUGUUGUGAAAUGUUGGGUUAAGUCCCGCAACGAGCGCAACCC
rnacentral:rRNA from 1 species